GGGGGCGUAGCUCAACUGGUUAGAGCAUCAGAUUGUCGAUCUGAGGGUUGCGGGUUCAAGUCCCGUCGCUCCCGCCA
rnacentral:tRNA from 2 species